CCUCCGCUUCCGUUGGGUUAGGAAAUAUGGGCGGAAGUUUUCACAUUUCACCUAGAAACCAAUCCAAGAUGUCCGUGCUAUCCAAGAAUGUGGGAGCCGUGUACUGUGUACCAAGAACUCAAAGGGAGAUUUCCAGCAUGCAAGCACAUGAUAUCUAUACUUUAUCUGCAAUUAAAAGUUAUUAUUGUAAGCGUCUUGGCUUACCCAUUUAAUCAGCUUAAUCAUUGCCGUCAACAACUGAAAAUCAGCUGAGAAGACAAAUAACAUCCGCUUACCGAGUGAUCGUAUUUUGGGCGCUUGCCGUCACUGAUCUCUGGGCACUGGUUAAUUUUCGAAAAGAAUUGCAAGCAAUCUUUUAAGAAGAAGAAUAAAAGCAACCACAGCCACAUUUGUUGUGGUAUUGCAGAGGUGAAUGUAAUGACCGCAGAUUCACCUAUGCCCAACCAGGUGUAGGUAACCGUUUGUAAAACUCAAUGAUCACUCAAUGAUAGUGCACCGCACACUUGACGCGAGCUAUCAUUGCACCGCGUUCUGAUAUGGCUGCAUUGCCAGGCCCAAAAACGAGUUUUACGGCAACAACAGCAACCAGGUUGACGUUGACCCACAUAGAACAUGUGCAUCACAUACGUAUGUAUAUAGGAAUAUUAAUAUAGAGACGACUAUCGUGUGUGGCAUUAGCAUAGAGCUGGUCAGUUUUCAAUUGCGUUCGUUAUGGAUUGUGAUUAAGACUGAGACAACAAGUUAGAUAUUUGUAUUCCUAUUAGAAAUGCCAAGUGAAGUCGUCUGAUAUUGCACAGAUUUGAGUCACUGGUAAUUUGUUGCAAAAACUGCUUCACUUGCCCAAAACGCAUUUUCCAAUUAACAUACUGGCUCUGCAAAACUUGGAAUCGAUAUGGAUGCAAAAAAGACAAACAUUGCCCCGCAAAAGCCUUGAAUAUUUAUGUUACCAGGAAUUUUUGUUUGUCUGUUGCGUAAAAGAGUGGAUCCAUCGCAAAAACACACCGUUUUUUCCCGAGGCGAUCAUGGAAAAUCUUACUGAUGGACGUCAUACUAAUGCCCAAGGAUGCCCCAAGCUUCCGGUAUCUUCCUCAAUAUUUUUUGGCACAACAACUGGUUUAACACAACCUUCCCGGAAUUUGUCCUGCAUCGAAGGACGUCUACGAUUGAAUGUGUUGUACCGGCUUAUCGUAUUGGCAAUGCGUGGUGUUUCAUCAAUAAAAGUUAAACUAAGCUUGUCUAAGAGUUCUUGGCUUAAGAAUCCGCAUCAAAUAUAGUAGAAAAUCCUGACACGGACAUUUUUAUGUAUUAAUUUUCGCUUUCUCCCGAAAUUAACUUUUAUUUUGUCAUUUAUCAUUAAAUUGAUUGCAUUUAUCGUUAAACGAUAUCAAAUUCGACCUCUAAAAGGGAAAGCUUUAUGUAGGCUUAUCACAGAAAAAAUGGUUAAACACACUUAGUCCCGCCGAGGUCAUCUUUUGGUUUUAGAUUGGCGAAUGCAUCGGAAAUGUUUCAAUGUGCCAUUUCAACAUAUUGGUGGAGGCGAUGUGGCUUCUUUUACAAGAAAAGCUUUAAAAGCCGUGAUUUUCAACGAAUUGGCGGUGAGUUCGACCUGGUGUGAGACGAAUUUUAAGCUCAGUACUCAACAGUCACAGUCACUAUUUAACAGUUCAGUCUGUUGAAGUAAAUAAGAGGCUGUAUAAUUUUUCGAGGGUUCAUAAGAUACAUAAGAAAUGUUGGUCAUAAGAAAUUUCGAUGGCUACUGACCAAGAAUUUAAGUACAUAUAUAUUCAAGAAAAGAGUUGUCCUUCU
rnacentral:sRNA from 1 species